rnacentral:lncRNA from 1 species
GAAAGACCUAGAUACUAGAUAUAGUGGAUAUUUUAUUACAUUUUGUAUGAAGUCAUGUUUCUCCUCUUGAGAUAAAAUCAGUGUGGGUUCAAUGUCCUUUAUUUGCCAUGGGGUCACAUAUAACUAGUUGUUGGGUUCAUUGAUAAGAAGAAAAAUGAUAAUCUGGCAAUUGGUUGAAUCAACGUUCACUACUAAAUGGCUUCUUCCAAAUCCUUUCUUCUUCAUCUUCUUCUCAUUUCUCUUAUGUUUGUUGCCACAAAGGUGACCUAUGCAAAACCUUUGGUUGCAGUGCCACUAAUAAAGCCAUCACCACCACCAUCUCUGGUGGUUGGAGUUGCCACUCGUACUUUACCACCACCACCACCACCACCAGAGAGAGCACGGUCACCCGUAGUGAGGCGUGAUGUUCCACCAGCUCCACCACCAGCUGCACCACCAGCUCCACCACAAGCUCCACCACCAGCUCCACCACCAGCUGCACCACCAGCUCCACCACAAGCUCCACCACCAGCUCCACCAC